rnacentral:rRNA from 1 species
GACGAACGCUGGCGGCGUGCUUAACACAUGCAAGUCGAACGGAAAGGCCCUGCUUUUGUGGGGUGCUCGAGUGGGGAACGGGUGAGUAACACGUGAGUAACCUGCCGUCUACUUGGGGAUAACUUCAGGAAACAGGGGUAAAUACUGCAGAGGAGCUCCUGCUGCACGGUGGGGGUGGGAAAGUGUAGGCGGUUGGGGAUGGUCGCGCGGCUUAUCAGCUUGUUGGGGGGGGAUUGGGUUACCAAGGGUUGGACGGGUAGCCGGCAUGAGAGGGUGACCGGCGUCAUUGGGCCUGAGAGACGGCCCAGACUCCAACGGGGGGCAGUAGUGGGAAAUCUUGCACAGUGGGCGGACGCGUAAUGCAGCAACGCCGCGUGUGGGAAGUCGGCCUUGGGGUUGUAAACCGCUUACGCCUGUGACGAAGCGUCAGUGACGGUACUGGGUGAAGAAGCACCGGCUAACUACGUG